GCCUACGGGACGCAGCAGUAGGGAAUCUUCCACAAUGGACGAAAGUCUGAUGGAGCAACGCCGCGUGAGUGAAGAAGGGUUUCGGCUCGUAAAGCUCUGUUGGUAGUGAAGAAAGAUAGAGGUAGUAACUGGCCUUUAUUUGACGGUAAUUACUUAGAAAGUCACGGCUAACUACGUGCCAGCAGCCGCGGUAAUACGUAGGUGGCAAGCGUUGUCCGGAUUUACUGGGUGUAAAGGGCGUGUAGGCGGGGAAGCAAGUCAGGUGUGAAAACCACGGGGUCCACCUGUGGCCUGCCUUUGAAACU
rnacentral:rRNA from 1 species